UACCCGCUGAACUUAAGCAUAUCAAUAAGCGGAGGAAAAGAAAAUAACAAUGAUUUCCCUAGUAACGGCGAGUGAAGAGGAAAGAGCUCAAAGUUGGAACCUGUUUGGCUUAGCUAAACCGGAUUGUAAACUGUAGAAGUGUUUUCCAGACACGCCUGGUAAAAAAGUCCUUUGGAACAGGGCAUCAUAGAGGGUGAGAAUCCCGUCUUUGGCCAGAGCUGUUGUCUUUUGUGAUACAUUUUCAAAGAGUCAGGUUGUUUGGGAAUGCAGCCUAAAUUGGGUGGUAAAUCUCACCUAAAGCUAAAUAUUUGCGAGAGACCGAUAGCGAACAAGUACCGUGAGGGAAAGAUGAAAAGAACUUUGAAAAGAGAGUUAAACAGUAUGUGAAAUUGUUAAAAGGGAACCGUUUGGAGCCAGACUGGCUUGACUGUAAUCAAUCUAGGCUUCGGCCUGGAUGCACUUGCGGUUUAUGCCUGCCAACGACAAUUUUUUUUGAGGGAAAAAACUAUUUGGAAUGUGGCCCUCCCUCGGGGGGGUGUUAUAGCCUUUUAGAAAAUACCUUGAAUUGGAUUGAGGAACGCAGUGAAUGCCUUUAGGCAAGAUUGCUGGGCGCUUUCGCUAAUAAAUGCUAGAAUUUCUGCUUCGGGUGGUGCUAGUGUUUAAAGGAGAAACUCGUCUGGUAUAUUUUUUAUUCGCUUAGGUUGUUGGCUUAAUGACUCUAAAUGACCCGUCU
rnacentral:rRNA from 1 species